rnacentral:rRNA from 1 species
UACGUAGGUGGCAAGCGUUGUCCGGAUUUACUGGGCGUAAAGAGCGCGCAGGCGGUCGGAUUAGUCGCGUGUGAAAGCCCCCGGCUCAACUGGGGAGGGUCACGCGAUACUGUUCGACUCGAAGGCAGGAGAGGGAAGUGGAAUUCCCGGUGUAGUGGUGAAAUGCGUAGAUAUCGGGAGGAACACCAGUGGCGAAGGCGACUUCCUGGCCUGUUCUUGACGCUGAGGCGCGAAAGCUAGGGUGGCAAACGGG